CCGCUGUUGGCGCUGACAAUUAGGUCUAAGUCGAUACUUAAGCUCAUUUGUAUGCGACAGGAGAACUCCAACGACAUAAGAACUCCUCCGUUAAAUUUCAGUGAAUGUGAACCAGUCAGUUCACCAGCAGCAGCUGCUAAUCCUGGCAAAAAGCCAGAAAACAAUGUAAGAAGAAACAUAAACAAUUAAUGAUUUCAGGAGAUCACAACAGAACUAUGUAUCACACUGGGUAAUCAAGAGUGUGCAGUCAGCAUACUCAGCACUCUUCUUUCUAAAGACGAAAUGAAAUCCUGGAAGAUGUCUUGAGGCUGUUGUCACUUUGUCCAACAGCGUCCUGGAAGAACUACUACUUUGCAUCAUCACAAUUUAAAACAUUCCAGCCACAUUCCAGCACAGCAUAUCCUUUACAGAUAUGAGCUAACUACAACAUUUGAUAUAAAUUCACAGGUGGCUAAAAUUAUGUCUGCCAGAUGGCGCGAGUGUCUUCGUUACUCAAGACGAAAUUCCGCCAUUUCUUAAAACACUGAUUGGAAACCACAUGUUGAAAACGUAUCGUUGGAUUGGAUUAAGUAAAUACGGCGUACUUUUCUUUCUUGACAUUUUUAUUCGUAAUAAUGGUAUUUAUCUGGUAACAGCUUAUAAUUUCUACAUGGCAAUUUUAUCUGAUCAUGUGGCCUCGGUGUGGCCUGAGCAGCUGAACAUUUUGCCAAAAUGUCUCUUUUUCCUGUACCAGCUUCACAUUGUCAGAAACACUUCAGGGAUUAACACCCUGGUAUCUGGUAACAGCCUAUAAUUUCUGCAUGGCAAUUUCAUCUGAUCAUGUGGCCUGAGCACCUGAACAUUUUGCCAAAAUGCCUCUUUUUCCUGUACCAGCUUCACGUUUGUCAGAAACACUUCAGAACAAUUCAGGAUUAACACCCUGGUGGAGUUUGAGCUUCUUUGUUGCUGCCCAACUUACACGUGGAUUUGACACAGCCAGCUGAGGGCUUUAAUUCUUGUUAAGCGUUUGUAUUCGCGUAGUUGCUGUCUGAUGUGGGACGUUGUUGCAGCCUAUGAUGGUGAAAGAUUUUUCUACAUCAAGUUCAAUUGGCCGUUCUUUGGUGCUGAUGUUGUGUUACCGAAGUUGCAUCAUAUUUUGUUAAAUUGUCAUCGUGACUAUUGCAGUUUACGUUUAUGAGUUCAGAAGCAACAAAAACAAAUAUGGGACGUUUAUUUCAACAAAUAAUAAACAUGUUUCCGGGAUUGGGAAAGGAAAGUGGAGGAUGUUGGAGGAGGGAGGGAUGAUAUUUGAAGUUUGGAUAAAAAUUCUGUUAAUCUAUUACCCUACCAAAUAAUCUCCAAACCCCACAAACAUAUACCUUCCAAUCCUUCAAACCCCGAAAACAUACACCUACUAACCCUUAAAUUUAUACCCAUAACCCUAAAAACCAAUGUUAAACCUUAACCAUGUAAUAUCUGUAAUAAAUAAAAAUAAAUGUUAUAUGGACCAAU